CGGAUUCUAAGAUGUGCUGGAAUUCACGCUGUCCACUGCAAAACACACUGGGAAACGCAUCCCCUGCAAACACCCUUCCAGCUGGAUUGGCCGCCCUGCCGCGCGCCCUUCCCCGGACACUGGCGCCUGCACCUCCUGACCUGGGCUCCAGUCAGGCUCUCCAAUUGCAGAGUCUCUGGCUUCAUUCACAGGCCCAACACCCAGGGAAACGGAGAGCUAGAGACACAGAACCCAGAGGCAGCAUCUGGUCACCUUCACCACGUGGCCCAACCACAAUGGGUCCUGUCCGCAGGCCCGCUCCAGGUCCCUUCUGUGUCCACACCUGGGAGGCAUCGGCAUACAUCAAUGAACUUUCAAGGACAUACUAGGAACAGGACAGAAUUGGGGUUGGGAGAACAGACUUGAAGGCCAAGUGGACUGGAUUGGAUCCCGGCUCUGCAUUCACUGGCUGGGCGACAUUUACGGACUUAUGGGGCUCAGGGAGCUCGAAUGAAUGCUCACUGACUGCAGGCUUUGCGUCAGCUGAGGGAUGUGCAAGUUUGCCGGAUAUACAUCGUUUGCUAUAUUUCUCUGUACAAGCAACCGAAAAAUUGGUUUUCCCCGAUCUGCUCCCUCGUUAAAUCGCUUGCACAAGCAUCUACCUCAGCAGCCACCCGUCUCUGACCCCACUCCUCCCUGAACUCAUCUCCGUGCUGGGGAUGCUGGUCUGGGGCUCUCAGCGCCCCUGAAUCUGGGGAUGGGGGCAGUGAUUUCCUCAAGAACAAGGAGAAGUGAGAAGGCUGAGCAGUGGUCCCCAAGGAGUAUGAUGCCCGGUGUGCAGACCGUCAG
rnacentral:lncRNA from 1 species